GUGUGUCUCUGUCUGUCAUGGUGUGUGCGUCUGUGUCAUGGUGUGUGUCUGUGUGUCUCUGUCUGUCAUGGUGUGUGCAUCUGUGUCAUGGUGUCUGUGUGUCUGUCUGUGUCAUGCAAUGUGUGCCUGUGUCAUGGUGUGUGUGUCUCUGACUGUCAUGGUGUGUGCGCCUGUCUGUGUCACGGUCUGUCUGUGUCAUGGUGUGUGUGUUUGUCAUGUUGUGUGUCUGUCUCUGUCAUGUAAUGUGUGUCUGUGUCACGGUGUGUGUGUGUCUGUGUCACGAUCUCUCUGUGUCGUGGUGUGUGUCUGUGUGUCAUGGUGUGUCUGUCUGUGUCGUGUGUGUCUGUGUCACGGUCUGUGUUAUGGUGUGUGUGUCAAGUUGUGUGUGUCUUUUUUAAGGUGUGUCUGUCAUGGUAUGUGUGUGUUUCUGUCAUGGUGUGUGUGUGUGUCUGUCUGU